GGUGCCGCUCCCGCAGCGCGGCGGCCCGGGCUGCCGUCCCGGUGACCGUCGACACCGUGAGCACGGCCCCGGUCCGGGCCCCGGCGGCGCCG
rnacentral:tRNA from 1 species